UGCCCAGCAACUCCUAUCUCUAUCUCCUCGUGGUACUGGCCGGGAUACGAGUAACCUUGGGGAAGAUCGGGUAACCAACCCCGGUGGGAGCUUUGGUCGUAUGCUGACAGAGAAGG
rnacentral:ribozyme from 1 species